rnacentral:tRNA from 1 species
GCCGAGGUAGCCAAGGUGGUCACGGCAGGCGCCUGAAGAGCGUCGGAUGUCGGUUCGAUUCCGACCCUCGGCACCA